UACGUAGGUGACAAGCGUUGUCCGGAUUUACUGGGCUUAAAGAGUUCGUAGGCGGCGCGGAAAGUAGGGUGUGAAAGCCCUCGGCUCAACCGAGGAAUUGCGCUCUAAACUGUCGCGCUCGAGGAACCUAGAGGUGAGCAGAACUGAUGGUGGAGCGGUGAAAUGCGUUGAUAUCAUCAGGAAUACCGGAGGCGAAGGCGGCUCACUGGGGGUUAUCUGACGCUGAGGAACGAAAGCCAGGGGAGCAAACGGG
rnacentral:rRNA from 1 species